CAAAGGUUUGGUCCUGGCCUUACUGUUAAUUCUUAUUAGACCUACACAUGCAAGUUUCCGCGCCCCAGUGAGAAUGCCCUCAAAACUAAUAAAGAGUUUUUUGGAGUGGGUAUCAGGCACACUCAAGAGUAGCCCAUGACACCUUGCCUAGCCACGCCCCCACGGGAUACAGCAGUGACUAAUAUUGAGCUAUGAACGAAAGUUCGACUAAAUUAUAAUAAAUCUAGGGCCGGUAAAUUUCGUGCCAGCCACCGCAGCCAUACGAUUGACCCAAACUAACAGAUUGUCGGCGUAAAGCGUGUCAAUCCAACAACCAAAAAUAAGGCAAAAACUCAAUCAUGCUGUAAUACGCUAUAGCUGACAUAAAAAUACGCAACUAAAGUGGCCUUAACUAUUGCUGAAGACACUAAAGCUAAGGUACAAACUGGGAUUAGAGACCCCACUAUGCUUAGCCAUAAACUUAGGUAGCUUAAUAACAAGACUACUCGCCAGAGACUACGAGCCACUGCUUAAAACUCAAAGGACUUGGCGGUGCCCUAAACCCUUCUAGAGGAGCCUGUUCUAUAAUCGAUAAACCCCGAUACACCUCACCCCUUCUAGCCAAUCAGUCUAUAUACCGCCAUCGUCAGCUCACCCCAACAGGGACAAAAGUGAGCAAGAUUAUGAAACCAUAAAAACGUUAGGUCAAGGUGUAGCGUAUGGACGGGGGAAGCGAUGGGCUACAUUUUCUAAAUUAGAACAUAACGAAUUAUCUAUUGAAACAAAGAUGUGAAGGAGGAUUUAGUAGUAAAUUAAGAAUAGAGAGCUUAAUUGAAACAGGCAAUAGGGUGCGCACACACCGCCCGUCACCCUCCUCGACAAAGUAACUUCCCAUACCUAAUACGAAUACGUAAAAAAGAGGAGAAAAGUCGUAACAUGGUAAGUGUACUGGAAGGUGCACUUGGAAUAUC
rnacentral:ncRNA from 1 species